AAAUGAGAGAUUAUUGCCUAAUGCCUUUCACUUCAAGCUUCAGUCGCAAGCAGAUGGAAAUCGGAUAUUUUUACAGCUACAGAGAGUCAAGUCAAAGAAAGGACACGAAUUUAACAAGAAAUACAGAAAUGGUAGCAACUGGAUAUGCUAAGGUUGUACCUUUGUGAAGUCAAAAUAUUCUAAGGUGGCUGUGAUCCUGUAAUCCAGAUAGAGAAAACGAAACUGGAAAUACAAGGAACUCCCCAUGGUCUCACCCAAGCCUGAAGUUAUGCCUCAUAUAGUAUACGCGGAUUUGAGGAGAGGGAGAGAGGGCAAGCAACAAGUCGGCCAAGUCCCAUGGGGAACUCCGGCAGGAUCUUAAAGGGUUCUAAAUAUAAAAUGACUGUUUUGUUUAACAAAAUAAGAUAUACUAAGACAAAAUGAAGACCAUCGUAUUGAAGUUGGACAAGACAAACCAACAGAAAAAUAAAUGAACCCCAAGAGAAGGCAUAGGACUCAUUCCAUUACUAAGAAGAGAACACACAGGAAUCAAGAGCGUUAAAGAGAGUCCAACAU
rnacentral:lncRNA from 1 species